AUACUUACCUGGCAGGGGAGAUAACAUGAUCAUGAAGGUGGUUUUCUCAGGGCAAGGCUUCUCCAUUGCAUUCAGGGUGUGCUGGCCACUGUGAUUUCUCUGCAUCAUUUGUGGUAGUGGGGGACUGUGUUCAAGUUCUCCCCUG
ensembl:snRNA U1 U1 spliceosomal RNA